UACCACUUUCCCCAGCAGUCACGACACUAUCACGAAGUUUAUAAACCCUAAUCAGAACUCCCAACGCUGUGUCAUUGGCAACCUCGCACAUCUCAUCAAUGGCGUUUCAAGUGGCGAUUCUUACUCGAAACAAAACCCUAAUCAAAACCUUUAGCUCCAUCAAAUCCAUCUCCACCUUCACCUUCCUCUCUCAAGAACCCCAACUUGCUACCGAGCCAACCCGCUCCGAUCCUAUUCCCACCACCACCACUCGUUUACCUCCAAAACCAGCCUCCGGCAGUCCACUCUACAAUGAGAACUGGCGCAACCCAAUGCCAAACUCAUCCCCUGGUGGUCAGUCUCUAAUUACUUUCGGCUUCCUCCAGCAAACGCUAGCCGGUCGCAUCCGGUCCAUGUCUCAAAAUCUCGACCUCAAUGAUCUGUUGAAUGUGUUCGCGGAUUGGAUGAGCUGGCAGCGAUGGCCUGAUGUGAAACAACUGUUUGAGUUCUGGAUAAGGUCGCUGGACAAAAAUGGCAAGCCUAAUAAGCCUGAUGUCAAUUUGUAUAAUCAUUAUUUGAGAGCAAAUUUGAUGAUGGGAGCUACUGCUGGGGAUAUGUUGGACUUGGUUGCUCGGAUGGAGGAGUAUGGUUUGUUGCCUAACACAGCUUCCUUCAAUUUGGUGCUCAAAGCCAUGUACCAGGCCAGAGAGACUAAGGCUGCCGAGAAGUUGGUCCAAAGGAUGGAGCAGACAGGGAAUGAAUCUCAGCCUGAUGAUGAGUCAUAUGAUUUGGUUAUUGAAAUCCUCUUCUUGACAGAACAAAUUGAUGCUGCCUUGAAAUAUAUAGAUAAGAGUUUGAAAUAUGGUUAUACGUUAUCAGUGAGAGUGUUUAAUGAUUGUGUAAACAGUUGUGUUAAUAAAGGCAGACUGGAUGCGUUGGUGUUGAUAAUUGAAAAGUGCAAGGUACUUACUGAUUAACUAAUAGUUAAAUCAUUCUGCAAAGGGUGAAUCUUUGCUACUUGAAUUUUAUAUAUGAAAUUCUUUAAUGUUACUUUAUACAUAUGUGCUGCUUUUAGACAAUGGAUCAGAACAAAGCUUUCUGUCCAACUUGGACCACGUGCAACUUUAUUGCAGAAGUUGCAAUGAGAGAGGAUAAUAACAAGUUAGCAUAUUAUGCCUUAGAAUUUAUGGCCAAAUGGAUUGCCAGGGGUGAGAAUACUAGGCCUGCUGUUCUUCUUUCUGUAGAUGAAGGGCUGGUUGUAUCUGCACUUGGAACUGCUGGCAGGACCUACAGUUCUACUCUCUUGGAUGCAUCAUGCAAAAUUCUUCACCAAUCAUUACGUGAAAAAAAGACCCCUAACCCAGAAUCUUAUAUUGGGAAAAUAUAUGCCUAUGCAUCACUGGGGAAUCUACAGAAGGCAUUUAGUACUCUGCGUGAAUUUGAGUCUGCUUAUGGGAGUUCUUCUGGCAAAGAAGCUGAAGAAGAACUGUUCUCACCAUUUACUUCUCUAUAUCCUAUGGUUGUGGCAUGCUCAAAGAAAGGUUUUGAGACUCUGGACUCGGUAUUUCUUUAUAUUUGGAAGUAAUAAAUAUUCGAAUCAUUUUGCUAUGUUUUCACUAAUUGUUUAGUUUUUCAAAUUCUAUAUAUAUUUGUUGAAUAACUGCAAAUUGAUGUUAAUGGUGAACUUUUAGUUUGUUUACUUUUACUAUAUAACAAGUUGAGAGCUGAAGAUUGGAAAAGGGUAGACAAAUCACUACACUAAAAUUUUUUUUUUAUUCAAAUUUCAAAGCAUCAUGACCUAGGUUUUAUCAAAUUAUUGGGCUGUUCAACUGAUGUGUAUUUUAGCUCUUUUAUCUAAAAUAUUAUGAAGCAAAUUAUUUAUGUUUUUUAGUGUGGCUAUAAAAUUUUUUUGAUAUUGCCUGUUAAGACACUGGUUUCCAAUGCUAUGUCCUUUGAGGCUCUUUCAUGGUCACAUCACAGUUGUACUAAAUUUAUGCUUCUCCGUGGCUACUAUACUGAUAUACUUAUCUUCGUUAAUCUUUAACAUUCUUUAUGGUUUACUAAAAGGAAUAUAUUUUGAUUUGAAGUUUUCAAAAGCGGAGAAAAAGCUUGAUGUUUGUUUUUGUUUGUAAAUUGUAACUUGAUUUAUUAUUGCACAUCAUCAUACACAUUUUAUUUUAUAACGUUGGUUGUUCAGCUUAUCAGCAAAUGUAUGGUUGUGCCUUGGAUUGCAUGCUAUUUCAAUGAAAUAGAUUAAUAUUUUCAGCUCAAAGUUGCUGUUACAAUUGUUUUUGGCAAAAGCAUUAUACCUGGGAUUCAAUUGCUUUACCAGAGUUUUUCAUUAGAGACAUGCUCUUGUUUUUUUCUGCUUUGCGAAUUCUUAUGCCAUUGUGUUCCAAAGCAACUCAAAAGCAAUUUUUUGUUGCUUUUAGCAAAAACAUCCAAGGAUCCCACUGGAAAAGAUCAAAGCAUUUGUCAUUUCUGUUAUCUUGGUUCUACUACUUGAUUCCCUUUAUUUUUAUUCACUUAUUUGUGCAGGGUUGCUAAAUAUUUAUUCUUAAAAUAUAUCAGGUAUAUUUUCAGCUGGGGAAUUUGAGCUGUGCAGAACAUCCAUACAAGUCUGUUGCUGCUCUUAAUUGUAUAGUUUUAGGUUGUGCAAAUAUAUGGGACCUUGACCGUGCCUAUCAAACUUUUGAGGCGAUUGGCUCUUCUUUUGGAUUGACCCCUGAUAUUCAUUCAUACAAUGCUCUUAUGUAUGCCUUUGGAAGGCUUAAGAAGACAUUUGAGGCUACAAGGUUGUUUGAUCACAUGGUAACUUUAGGUAUCAAACCCAACUCAACAUCAUAUUCCUUGCUUGUUGAUAAUCAUCUCAUCAAUCGAGAUGUGAAAUCUGCUCUCUCUGUAAUUGACGAGAUGGUGCCUGUCGGAUUUAUCCCCUCAAAGGAAACACUAAGGAAGGUCAGAAGGCGUUGUGUUCGUGAGAUGGACUAUGACAGUGAUGCUUGUGUGGACUCCUUGGCUAAAAAGUUCAAAAUUCGAAUGGGUCUUGAGAAUCGUAGGGACAUCUUAUUCAAUCUUGAGUAUGGCACUGAUUAUGCUUGAUAGGUAAAAGUCUGAUGAAAGAAACCUUGUUGAAAUACUGCACGAAGUUUUCGAAAGGGCUAUACUGGUGUUUGCUCUGGUUCCAUGAGAUGAAAUAUCUACCCCUUGGUAAUCUGUUGCCUUGAUUUACGUUUUGUUUGGAUUGGAUGGGGGUGAAGGAAGGGUAAAUAAGAGUAAGGAGCGGUAAGUAAAUAUUAUACUUUUUGUUUUGGAAGAGAUGAGUUAGUGAAGGGUAAGAGUAAGUAAGGGUAAGGCUUACCUUCCUUUCCUUGCCCCUUUAAUUCUAGUUUUUCUUACACCCCAAUUUGAGGUGUAAGCAGGAGGAGCUAAAAGUUAAAAAUUAUUUUAUUUUUAAUUUUUCUAUUGUGUCCUUAAUUUUUUAUUAAAAAUCUAAUUAUACCCAUUAAAAGUAAACCUAAUUUACCAGUACAAAUAAAUGUCUUCUCUUUCAAAUUGCUGUACCUGAUCUCUUCGCUCUCAUGGAUUUUGAAUUCUUCCAUAAACAAGGUUAGUUUUACCUUUCUAUUUAAUUUUAGUUGUUAAAUCAUUUGUUCUUUCAACAAAUUGUUGUAAUUAUUAUUUUUCAAUUAUCAGUUUUUUAAAUAAUACAUUAUUUAUUCAGUCUUUGUUAGAUUUGUCCAUUAUUAUUUUGAUUUAUUAAUUUUGUGAUUUAUUCAUAAUGAAUUAUUACUGUUUAUAAAUUUAAGAUUUAUCAUGAUAAAUUUACUAUUUAAUAAAUUAUCUAAUAAAAAAUGAUAUUUUUGUACUUCUAAUAAUUUUUUAUCCUUCUUUCACCUCUUUCCAAACAUGAAGAGUAUGCAUUACCUUUUCUUAUCUUUCCAUUAAUUCACCUCUUUCC
rnacentral:misc_RNA from 1 species